UACGUAGGGGGCGAGCGUUAUCCGGAUUUACUGGGUGUAAAGGGAGCGUAGACGGUUAAUCAAGUCUGAAGUGAAAGCCCGCGGCUCAACUGCGGAACGGCUUUGGAAACUGAGUAACUGGAGUGCAGGAGAGGUAAGCGGAAUUCCUGGUGUAGCGGUGAAAUGCGUAGAUAUUAGGAGGAACACCGGUGGCGAAGGCGGCUUACUGGGCUUAAACUGACGCUGAGGCACGAAAGUGUGGGGAGCAAACAGG
rnacentral:rRNA from 1 species